rnacentral:rRNA from 1 species
UGAGGAAUAUUGGUCAAUGGGCGAGAGCCUGAACCAGCCACGUCGCGUGAAGGAAGACUGACCUUACUGUUUGUAAACUUCUUUUGUAGAGGGGUAAUGUCAGAUACGUGUAUUUGCGUGAAAGUACUCUACGAAUAAGCAUCGGCUAACUCCGUGCCAGCAGCCGCGGUAAUACGGGGGAUGCGAGCGCUAUCCGGAAUUAUUGGGUUUAAAGGGUGCGCAGGUGGCUAAUCAGGUCAGUGGUGAAAAGCUAUGGCUCAACCAUGGUCUUGCCAUUGAAACCGUAUAGCUAGAGAGGAGACGAGGUAGGCGGAAUGUGUGGUGUAGCGGUGAAAUGCAUAGAUAUCACAAAGAACUCCGAUUGCGAAGGCAGCUUACCAGGCUUUAUCUGACACUUAGGCGCGACAGCGUGGGGAUCAAACAGG